GCCUGGCAUGGUGGCAUGCCUGUAGUCCCAGCUACUUGGGAGGCUGAGGUGGGAGGAUUACUUGAGCCCAGGAGUUCUGGGCUGUAGUGUGCUAUGCCAAUCAGGUGUCUGCACUAAAUUUGUCAUCAAUAUGGUGACCUCCAGGGAGCGGGGGACCACCAGGUUGCCUAAGGAGGGGUGAACCAGCCCAGGUCAGAAACGGAGCAGGUCAAAACUCCCGUGCUGAUCAGUAGUGGGACUGCACCUGUGAAGAGCCACUGCACUCGAGCCUGGGCAACAUAGCGAUACCCCGUCUCU
rnacentral:SRP_RNA from 1 species